GGGGGGACCAUCCUCCAAGGCUAAAUACUACUGACUGACCGAUAGUGAACCAGUACCGUGAGGGAAAGGCGAAAAGAACCCCUGUGAGGGGAGUGAAAUAGAACCUGAAACCGUGUACGUACAAGCAGUAGGAGCAGGCUUGUCCUGUGACUGCGUACCUUUUGUAUAAUGGGUCAGCGACUUAUAUUCAGUGGCAAGGUUAACCAUCUAGGGGAGCCGUAGGGAAACCGAGUCUUAACUGGGCGUUCAGUCUCUGGAUAUAGACCCGAAACCAGGUGAUCUAGCCAUGGGCAGGUUGAAGGUUGAGUAACAUCAACUGGAGGACCGAACCGACUAAUGUUGAAAAAUUAGCGGAUGACUUGUGGCUAGGGGUGAAAGGCCAAUCAAACCUGGAGAUAGCUGGUUCUCCCCGAAAGCUAUUUAGGUAGCGCCUCGGACGAAUACUACUGGGGGUAGAGCACUGUUAAGGCUAGGGGGUCAUCCCGACUUACCAACCCUUUGCAAACUCCGAAUACCAGUAAGUACUAUCCGGGAGACACACGGCGGGUGCUAACGUCCGUCGUGGAGAGGGAAACAACCCAGACCGCCAGCUAAGGUCCCAAAUUACUACUAAGUGGGAAACGAUGUGGGAAGGCUCAGACAGCCAGGAUGUUGGCUUAGAAGCAGCCAUCAUUUAAAGAAAGCGUAAUAGCUCACUGGUCGAGUCGGCCUGCGCGGAAGAUGUAACGGGGCUAAGUAGUAAACCGAAGCUGCGGCAAUGUGCUUUUGCACAUUGGGUAGGGGAGCGUUCUGUAAGCGGUUGAAGGUGUGUGGUAACGCAUGCUGGACGUAUCAGAAGUGCGAAUGCUGACAUGAGUAACGAUAAAGGGGGUGAAAAACCUCCUCGCCGGAAGACCAAGGGUUCCUGUCCAACGUUAAUCGGGGCAGGGUAAGUCGACCCCUAAGGCGAGGCCGAAAGGCGUAGUCGAUGGGAAACGGGUUAAUAUUCCCGUACUUCUUACAAUUGCGAUGGGGGGACGGAGAAGGCUAGGUGGGCCUGGCGACGGUUGUCCAGGUUCAAGUGCGUAGGCUUAAGAGUUAGGUAAAUCCGGCUCUUUUUAAGGCUGAGACACGACGUCGAGCACCUACGGGUGUGAAGUCAUUGAUGCCAUGCUUCCAGGAAAAGCCUCUAAGCUUCAGAUUGUAAGGAAUCGUACCCCAAACCGACACAGGUGGUCGGGUAGAGAAUACCAAGGCGCUUGAGAGAACUCGGGUGAAGGAACUAGGCAAAAUGGUACCGUAACUUCGGGAGAAGGUACGCUCUUGAUGGUGAAGUCCCUCGCGGAUGGAGCUGACGAGAGUCGCAGAUACCAGGUGGCUGCAACUGUUUAUUAAAAACACAGCACUGUGCAAAAUCGUAAGAUGACGUAUACGGUGUGACGCCUGCCCGGUGCCGGAAGGUUAAUUGAUGGGGUUAGACUUCGGUCGAAGCUCUUGAUCGAAGCCCCGGUAAACGGCGGCCGUAACUAUAACGGUCCUAAGGUAGCGAAAUUCCUUGUCGGGUAAGUUCCGACCUGCACGAAUGGCGUAAUGAUGGCCACGCUGUCUCCACCCGAGACUCAGUGAAAUUGAAAUCGCUGUGAAGAUGCAGUGUACCCGCGGCUAGACGGAAAGACCCCGUGAACCUUUACUACAGCUUGGCACUGAACAUUGACCCUACAUGUGUAGGAUAGGUGGGAGGCUUUGAAGCACGUACGCCAGUAUGUGUGGAGCCGUCCUUGAAAUACCACCCUUGUAGUGUUGAUGUUCUAACGUCGACCCCUAAUCGGGGUUGCGGACAGUGCCUGGUGGGUAGUUUGACUGGGGCGGUCUCCUCCCAAAGAGUAACGGAGGAGCACGAAGGUGGGCUAAUCACGGUUGGACAUCGUGAGGUUAGUGCAAUGGCAUAAGCCCGCUUGACUGCGAGAAUGACAAUUCGAGCAGGUGCGAAAGCAGGUCAUAGUGAUCCGGUGGUUCUGAAUGGAAGGGCCAUCGCUCAACGGAUAAAAGGUACUCCGGGGAUAACAGGCUGAUACCGCCCAAGAGUUCAUAUCGACGGCGGUGUUUGGCACCUCGAUGUCGGCUCAUCACAUCCUGGGGCUGAAGUCGGUCCCAAGGGUAUGGCUGUUCGCCAUUUAAAGUGGUACGCGAGCUGGGUUUAGAACGUCGUGAGACAGUUCGGUCCCUAUCUGCCGUGGGCGUUGGAAGAUUGAAGGGGGCUGCUCCUAGUACGAGAGGACCGGAGUGGACGAACCUCUGGUGUUCGGGUUGUGUCGCCAGACGCAUUGCCCGGUAGCUAAGUUCGGAAUCGAUAACCGCUGAAAGCAUCUAAGCGGGAAGCGAGCCCUGAGAUGAGUCUUCCCUGAUACUUUAAGUAUCCUAAAGGGUUGUCGGAGACUACGACGUUGAUAGGUCAGGUGUGUAAGUGCUGUGAGGCAUUGAGCUAACUGAUACUAAUUGCCCGUGAGGCUUAACCAUACAACACCCAAGGGGUUU
rnacentral:rRNA from 1 species